rnacentral:lncRNA from 1 species
CAAAAUCUCUAUCUUUUUGCUUCUGUUAUUGUUUCUGUGAGGGAUUGCUACAAAAGAAAAACCCUUUAUGCCAGGAACUCUCUGUCAUUUAAUUUAUCUCUUUCCAUCCAUAGUAUUAUUUUAUGGACUAAAAUAAAAAGUAGAUAAAAAGAGCUGGUGGCAUUGGUUGAACUCUCCCAAUCUCUUUUUCACCUGUGUUUUCCUGGGAAAAAAAAUGCCAGGAUGUUUAUUUUAAAAUUUAUUCAGUUGCUGUUUUAGUUGUGUUCAAUACAGAUUAUUGAGACUGAAAUGUGAAACCCUGAGAAGAAAAGGAGGAGCCUGAAAAAAUAUAGGAAAGAAAGAGAAAAAAAGAGAAGCAGGAGCGUGAAUUCAUUAAGAUGUUGAGAAGAAAACCAAGAGUGCAAACCUGGAACAGAGCUGUAAUGGAUUUGGAUCAUCAAGGAGCAGGACUGCAGAGAAAUUCAUGUGGACUCCAUUUUCUCCCUACACAUACCCAAGCUUUGGCCAAAAGCAGUAUUAUUUCUGACAACGUGCCCAGAGAUGAGAGAACACUCUUGGGAAUCCACAGCUCUCAUCCACAGAUUGUCUCAUGGGAAAUUUUCCUAACUGCAGAUUCACAUGACCAGAGAACUGCUGGAGAGGGACCUGAAUGCCAGACAUGGAAGACGAUGCAGUCUAUAACUCUCCAUCUGAUAAUAACCAGAUUAUAGCUCCACAAUUCCAACAAAGA